AAUGAUGAAUUUAUCUUAGUUUCUGUGCAUUGAUCAGUAGAGCUACAGGAACUAUAGAUAAUGCUUAAAAGUGACUUAAGUGUGCACAGACCUGCUGCUAUUCUUAGAAUCACAUUCACCUUGACAUCUCUGGAUACAAUAGACCCCUUUUGACAGCCGCUCACCCAUUUAACUGAGACAACUAAUGAUUUUGGCCAUAUAGUUUAUAAAAAGAAUGUCAGUUCAACUUGCAGACUACCUGGAAGGAAAGUGGGAAUUCGAUGUUUGCUCCCGCUUUACUAUUCAUAUUCCAUCCAAGCAUGCGACAGCUGAUGAAGAUCUCCGGGAUGGUGUUAGUGUCUUCCUAAUACAACCAGGUCUCUUUAAUUAAAGAUGAGGUCUUCAAGGUGAAGAGAGUUUGGCUUCUGUUUGGGCUCAUUCAGACCAAUAAGCUGAAGCACUACCCCAGCAUCCACGGAGACUUCAGCAACGACUUCAGACAGCCCUGUGUGGUGUUCACCGGGCACCCUUCCCUCCGCUUCGGGGACGUGGUCCACUUCAUGGAGCUCUGGGGAAAAUCUAGUCUCAACACCGUCAUAUUCACGGAACCAGACUUCUCCUACCUGGAAGCCCUGGCUCCUUACCAGCCGCUGGCCAUGAAAUGCAUCUACUGCCCCAUCGACACCCGGCUGAACUUCAU
rnacentral:sRNA from 1 species